rnacentral:rRNA from 1 species
AAUCACUUGUCUUUUAAAUGGAGACCUGUAUGAAUGGCACAACGAGGGCUUAACUGUCUCCUUUUCUAAGUCAAUGAAAUUGAUCUCCCCGUGCAGAAGCGGGGAUUANAACAUAAGACGAGAAGACCCUAUGGAGCUUUAGACGCAAAACAGAUUCCGUCCCUCCCCCCAAAUUAAAAAGUGAAACUAAGAAACCCCUGUCAUUACGUCUUCGGUUGGGGCGACCAUGGGGCAACAAAAACCCCCCACGUGGAAUGAGAAUUAUUCCCACCCUUACAUUAUUCUCAAAGCCAAGAGCGACAGCUCUAGAAAGCAGAACUUCUGACCAAAAAUGAUCCGGCUGACGCCGAUCAACGAACCAAGUUACCCUAGGGAUAACAGCGCAAUCCUC